rnacentral:rRNA from 1 species
AUACGUAGGGGGCGAGCGUUGUCCGGAAUGAUUGGGCGUAAAGGGCGCGUAGGCGGCCCGGUAAGUCUGGAGUGAAAGUCCUGUUUUUAAGAUGGGAAUUGCUUUGGAUACUGUCGGGCUUGAGUGCAGGAGAGGUAAGUGGAAUUUCCAGUGUCGCGGUGAAAUGCGUAGAGAUUGGGAGGAACACCAGUGGCGAAGGCGACUUACUGGACCGUAACUGACGCUGAGGCGCGAAAGUGUGGGGAGCAAACAGGAUUAGAUACCCUGGUAGUCCACACUGUAAACGAUGAAUGCUAGGUGUAGGGGGUAUCGACCCCUUCUGUGCCGCAGUCAACACAAUAAGCAUUCCGCCUGGGGAGUACGGCCGCAAGGUUGGAACUCAAAGGAAUUGACGGGG